GAGAUGAAAGGGAGAAACGGCUGUUACCUGAAAGAAAUGUUUGUUCAGAAAGUAUGAACAAACAGCCACUGAUUGCUCAAGGUUGGAAAAAAAAAUAUGCAUUUGAGUUUGUUGCAACAGGCAGGUGGAGGCAUGACAUUUACAUACAGCCAAGACAAACUUAAGCUUUUUAUCAUGUCAGCAGUUUAAUUUUCUACCAAUGGAGUUGAAAGUGGAAAAGAAAGCAUAUAGAGAAGUUACCAGUUGUAGCAUCUUUGAAUUGCUCUUUGCUAUUCUCCGGGAACUUAUGAUGAUGAAUCCAGCCCCAAAACUGCCAGAAAAUUAAGCAUUGGUUGAUGACAGUGGAAGACCAACACCAAGAAAGCUACAAAACUUUGGUUGGCCAUUCUCUUUCAAGAUCACAUCAAGAACAAGUUGGAGGGCCAUUACAGACAUAAGUCUACUGUUGUGGUUACAUGACACGCACAUUUAUUGGAGUAGCUAUCCGUAGUUACAAUCAUCAAUCAUCUCAGAAGAAAAGGCAGAUAGAUGAUGGCCAGAAAAGUAAAGAGAGUGCUUUCUCCAGGAAGCAUAUGGAAAGCUCCGUGACAAAACAACAACAACUGCUUUCGUACUAGCUGAUUCAGACAAGUGAAGCUGUCAACGACAUCAGGCCAUUUUGGUGAGGCGUCGCAACUGCUGUGCGGACGAUAACAUUCAGAACACACAGGUGCACAUGUAAUGUUGCUUAGACUCAUGGCUUAUGCGAAAGAAGUUGAGACUGGAACCAGACAUAUGAAAUGGAUCAAGGAGGUAUCACCAUCUCUUGUUCUCACCAUUUCUUAUGACCUGUCGCGACGUCUCUAUGUUCACCAUCUGGUCCUGAUUCUAUCUUUCCGUUUAUUCAUGCACUUGAGCCCACAACUACACCAUAGAUUCCCCAAAUCGUAUUUCCCUUUAUUCUGUGUAGAUCCUAUUCCCCUAUGAUGUAACCGAGUUCUAUGGGUGGGGGUGUAUACGUUACAACUCGUUUAUUGUCUACAUAUUCUAAUGAAUAUAAUAUAUAUUUUU